AACAAACGCUGGCGGCGUGCCUAAUACAUGCAAGUCGAACGGGGAAAGCUUUCGGGUGAGUACUAGUGGCGCACGGGUGAGUAACGCGUGGAUAAUCUGCCUUGAAGAGGGGGAUAACCAGUCGAAAGAUUGGCUAAUACCGCAUAAGACCACAGGAACUGAGGUUUUAGAGGUCAAAGGUUUUUCGCUUCAAGAUGAGUCCGCGUAAGAUUAGCUAGUUGGUGAGGUAACGGCUCACCAAGGCGACGAUCUUUAACUGGUCUGAGAGGAUGAUCAGUCACACUGGAACUGAGAAACGGUCCAGACUCCUACGGGAGGCAGCAGUAGGGAAUAUUGCACAAUGGAGGAAACUCUGAUGCAGCGACGCCGCGUGAGUGAUGAAGGCCUUCGGGUCGUAAAGCUCUGUCGCAGGGGAAUAACACAAUGAAGGUACCCUGUAAGAAAGGAUCGGCUAACUUCGUGCCAGCCGCCGCAGUAACAC
rnacentral:rRNA from 1 species